UGGCCACAUCAUAUUGAAAUACUGGUUCCCAUACAAUCACUGAAGUUAAGCAACUUCGAGCCUGGUUUGUACUUAGAUGAGUGACUGCUUAGUAAUACCAGGUGCUGUAAG